rnacentral:rRNA from 1 species
UACACAGGUGCUGCAUGGCCGUCGUCAGCUCGUGUCGUGAGAUGUUUGGUUAAGUCCGGCAACGAGCGCAACCCCUGUUGCCAGUUACCAGCACGUGAAGGUGGGGACUCUGGCGAGACUGCCCAGAUCAACUGGGAGGAAGGUGGGGACGACGUCAGGUCAGUAUGGCCCUUAUGCCCAGGGCUGCACACGUACUACAAUGCCCAGUACAGAGGGGGCCGAAGCCGCGAGGCGGAGGAAAUCCUAAAAACUGGGCCCAGUUCGGACUGUAGGCUGCAACCCGCCUACACGAAGCCGGAAUCGCUGGUAAUGGCGCAUCAGCUACGGCGCCGUGAAUACGUUCCCGGGUCUUGUACACACCGCCCGUCACAUCAUGGAAGCCGGUCGCACUCGAAGUAUCUGAAGCCAACCGCAAGGAGGCAGGGUCCUAAGGUGAGACUGGUAACUGGGAUGAAGUCGUAACAAGGUAGCCGUAGGGGAACCUGCGGCUGGAUCACCUCCUU